UAAACUUCUCGAUCUUUAUUUUAUUUUCUUGUUCUCUGGGUUGAUUUUGGAAAUUUGAGCUAAUGCCUAAAUUAAAACGAUCAACAAAGCUGACUUUCCCUAACUUCCCCCUCCAAUCAAAAAGAGAAAAAGAGCAUAAUUAAUAAGCGUGGCCUUUAAACCUGAAAGUGACAAUCAAUUCAUUACUAGAAGAGGAGGAGUUUAUGAGAACGCAAAGAAGUUUCCUUAAAACCAACACUUGAACAGCCUAAUCUCAGUAAUGCGCUGGAGAUUCCCACAGCUCGUCAUAAGAUACGCAGAAUUACGAGAAAUCAAUGCAUUGGAGAACAUGUAUUCAGCGUCUCAGACUGCGCAUCUUUAAACACGCUCUAUGGACAACAGAAAAGGACAAAAAGGCAAACGAUAAAGACACAAAUAAACCAAGAAAUGAACAGAAACAGAAAAAGCCGCUGAUAGUCAGACACAACAGCAUUAAUAGCGGAAAACCCCAACUUUUCUCGUGUUUCUGAUAUUCAUUCUGGUGUUUCAUGAGUCGCAGAAGAGGAGGCACUCACACAACUUUUUGCUUUAUACGAAUAGCCACUUAAAAAAUACAUUUACUGUAACAAAUCUGUGUAACUAAAUAAACCUAUUUUAAACUUAUUGU